UACGAAGGGGGCUAGCGUUGCUCGGAAUCACUGGGCGUAAAGCGCACGUAGGCGGACUCUUAAGUCGGUGGUGAAAUCCUGGAGCUCAACUCCAGAACUGCCUUCGAUACUGGGAGUCUCGAGUCCGGGAGAGGUGAGUGGAAUUCCGAGUGUAGAGGUGAAAUUCGUAGAUAUUCGGAAGAACACCAGUGGCGAAGGCGACUCACUGGACACGUAUUGACGCUGAGGUGCGAAAGCGUGGGGAGCAAACAGG
rnacentral:rRNA from 1 species